rnacentral:rRNA from 1 species
UGGGGAAUCUUCCGCAAUGGACGAAAGUCUGACGGAGCAACGCCGCGUGAGUGAUGACGGCCUUCGGGUUGUAAAGCUCUGUGAUCGGGGACGAAUGGCUGGUAUGCUAAUACCAUAUCAGAGUGACGGUACCCGAAUAGCAAGCCACGGCUAACUACGUGCCAGCAGCCGCGGUAAUACGUAGGUGGCAAGCGUUGUCCGGAAUUAUUGGGCGUAAAGCGCGCGCAGGCGGCUUCUUAAGUCCAUCUUAAAAGUGCGGGGCUUAACCCCGUGAUGGGAUGGAAACU